CCUAGCUUAGCUAUCCAUUGGCUUAACCAUAACCAGUGGCGGAGCCAGAACAAUGACUCACUGGGGUCAAAAAAAAGUUAAACGAAACGAUAAACUUUACUAUAAACAUAACAAUGUCAUUACAAAUAAAAACUCUAAAGAUGAACUCUACGUUCACUCAUAUCUUGGAAUCGUUUUAUCACGAUUCGUUUGUAACAGUGUUAAGUACUUGCUUUUCAAUAAAACAAACAAGACAAUCACUUAAGAACACAUCACUGAUACGGUUACGCAAUGUAGUCUUCACAAAAUUCAUCGCGGAAAAACAUCUUUCGACAGUUGCCGUUGCAACAGGAAGAAUCAAAGAUAGCUUUAGAAGACGAUAUACCAAAGGAUGUGAAAGAUGCUUUUUUGUCUCUACCAUCACACGAGCAAGAUCACCAAGACACUUUAAAUCUGUAAACUUUUCAUCGUUUUUCACAUUAUCAAGGUAGAUCUCAAGUUGAUGAUCAAGAGAUCUACGCUCCACAAAACUAAAGUCAUCUGGAUAAAACUCGAUCAAUCUCACGAGCAUGGACUUAUCAAACUAACGAAAAGAAUCUAUCGGACUCACAGAAUCUAUGGUCCAUAACUAA
rnacentral:sRNA from 1 species